GGCUGGAGAUGAACUAAGGCUAAUACUUGCCUCUGCAAAUCUAGAACUCUGUCCGUCAGUCUCAGAACACAUCCCUCAAGCUCCUCAAGUCGUACGGACUGAGCUGUGAGCAUCUGAAAAAUAGUAGAGAUAUGAGGGAUCAAAAUUUGGUCUGAGUCAUCUUGAGAUGUCGACCUCUGAGCAAAGACUGAGGUGACAAACUGCUG
rnacentral:lncRNA from 1 species